UUCACACAGAAUAAAAACCGUUUCCAACGGUGACUUGAGCUGUGGAAACGCGAAUCACCCUGCAGCGGUUGGGGGGAGGGGGGGACACCGGGGACACCUGGGAGUACAUCAUGUGGAAGAGCCGGCUUUAUUGUUGGAAGAACGCAGAAUUCCGCGAGAGGGCGACCGAAGUUACGCACUAUUGCUUUAAGAUUGAAGAUAGAAUUGAAGCUCACUGAAGAUGAAGAUUUCUCCUUUCACACCUACCUGCUUUUUGCUCUCCCUAUCAGAAGAAUGAGCGCGUCUGUGCCAGCAGUGAGGUUGCCGGUUUCUCCAACAGCAAUGACUGCUAGAAAAAUGAGAGAUGCUGUCACAAUGGAUGUGUACAUGUUUGCAGUCAGUGAUUCGAGGAAAGAUGGAAACCAAAUCACAUUUCUGAAAAACCUCUGACAAGAUGAUUUCAGAAGAGUGUUUGUUGCUGGAGAAAUCUAGUUAAUUGAAAGACACUUAAUAAAGAGUUCUGGGUGCCUGGCUUAAUGAAAGCAUUAUGCUAUGCACUGUUCUGUAAUGAAUUGAUAAAUGAGUUGAUUUUGGUGAUUAAACUUGUUUGAAUCCUGUACAUCCAAUUGCACAGAGAUUAGGGGCCACAGUAUUUAAA